CCUACGGGAGGCAGCAGUGGGGAAUAUUGCACAAUGGGCGCAAGCCUGAUGCAGCCAUGCCGCGUGUAUGAAGAAGGCCUUCGGGUUGUAAAGUACUUUCAGCGGGGAGGAAGGGAGUAAAGUUAAUACCUUUGCUCAUUGACGUUACCCGCAGAAGAAGCACCGGCUAACUCCGUGCCAGCAGCCGCGGUAAUACGGAGGGUGCAAGCGUUAAUCGGAAUUACUGGGCGUAAAGCGCACGCAGGCGGUUUGUUAAGUCAGAUGUGAAAUCCCCGGGCUCAACCUGGGAACUGCAUCUGAUACUGGCAAGCUUGAGUCUCGUAGAGGGGGGUAGAAUUCCAGGUGUAGCGGUGAAAUGCGUAGAGAUCUGGAGGAAUACCGGUGGCGAAGGCGGCCCCCUCGGACGAAGACUGACGCUCAGGUGCGAAAGCGUGGGGAGGCAAACAGGAUUAGAUACCCUGGUAGUCCACGCCGUAAACGAUGUCGACUUGGAGGUUGUGCCCUUGAGGCGUGGCUUCCGGAGCUAACGCGUUAAGUCGACCGCCUGGGAGUACGGCCGCAAGGUUAAAACUCAAAGAGUAGUAGCGUGNGAGAGCGACGACGACGACGACGGAGGAGGAGG
rnacentral:rRNA from 1 species